rnacentral:rRNA from 1 species
GUACACACCGCCCGUCACACCAUGGGAGUGGGUUGCACCAGAAGCAGGUAGUCUAACCGCAAGGAGGGCGCUUACCACGGUGUGAUUCAUGACUGGGGUGAAGUCGUAACAAGGUAGCCGUAGGUGAACCUGCAGAAGGAUCA